rnacentral:rRNA from 1 species
UUUUUGGAGAGUUUGAUCCUGGCUCAGGAUGAACGCUGGCGGCGUGCCUAAUACAUGCAAGUCGAGCGG